rnacentral:tRNA from 1 species
GCGGUCAUAGCUCAAUUGGCUAGAGCACUCCCCUGUCACGGGAGAGGUUGCGGGUUCGAGCCCCGUUGACCGCG